rnacentral:rRNA from 1 species
UACAGAGGGUGCAAACGUUGCUCGGAAUCAUUGGGCGUAAAGCGCACGUAGGCGGUCCAGCAAGCGGGGCGUGAAAGCCCUCGGCUUAACCGAGGAAGUGCUUUCCGAACUACUGGACUUGAGUACUGAAGAGGGUCGCGGAAUUCCCGGUGUAGAGGUGAAAUUCGUAGAUAUCGGGAGGAACACCAGUGGCGAAGGCGGCGACCUGGGCAGAUACUGACGCUGAGGUGCGAAAGCGUGGGGAGCAAACAGG